UACAUACUAGCCAAACAGUAAGGCGCUUGAUUUAGGUUCAGGUAUAUGUGGGUGCGAAUCCCACGUAUGAAC
rnacentral:tRNA from 1 species